rnacentral:rRNA from 1 species
UCCAGACUCCUACGGGAGGCAGCAGUGGGGAAUAUUGCACAAUGGGGGAAACCCUGAUGCAGCGACGCCGCGUGAGUGAAGAAGUAUUUCGGUAUGUAAAGCUCUAUCAGCAGGGAAGAAAUAGCGACCUUUGGGUCGCCAGACGGUACCUGACUAAGAAGCCCCGGCUAACUACGUGCCAGCAGCCGCGGUAAUACGUAGGGGGCAAGCGUUAUCCGGAUUUACUGGGUGUAAAGGGAGCGCAGGCGGGAAGCCAAGUCAGCUGUGAAAACUACGGGCUUAACUUGUAGACUGCAGUUGAAACUGGUUUUCUUGAGUGAAGUAGAGGUUGGCGGAAUUCCGAGUGUAGCGGUGAAACGCGUAGAUAUUCGGAGGAACACCGGUGGCGAAGGCGGCCAACUGGGCUUUAACUGACGCUGAGGCUCGAAAGUGUGGGGAGCAAACAGGAUUAGAUACCCCUGUAA